GACGGAGGGGGCUAGCGUUGUUCGGAAUUACUGGGCGUAAAGAGCGCGUAGGCGGCUUGGCAAGUUGGAUGUGAAAGCCCUGGGCUUAACCUCGGAACUGCAUUCAAAACUGCUGAGCUAGAGUAUGGUAGGGGAUGAUGGAAUUCCUAGUGUAGAGGUGAAAUUCUUAGAUAUUAGGAGGAACACCGGUGGCGAAGGCGGUCAUCUGGGCCAUUACUGACGCUGAGGCGCGAAAGCGUGGGGAGCAAACAGG
rnacentral:rRNA from 1 species